UACAGAGGUCUCAAGCGUUGUUCGGAUUCAUUGGGCGUAAAGGGUGUGUAGGUGGCGCCGUAAGUCGGGUGUGAAAUUUCGGAGCUUAACUCCGAAACUGCAUUCGAUACUGCGGUGCUUGAGGACUGGAGAGGAGACUGGAAUUCAUGGUGUAGCAGUGAAGUGCGUAGAGAUCAUGAGGAAGACCAGUGGCGAAGGCGGGUCUCUGGACAGUUCCUGACGCUGAGGCACGAAGGUCAGGGGAGCAAACGGG
rnacentral:rRNA from 1 species